GGGUUGUGAGGUUAAGCGACUAAGCGUACACGGUGGAUGCCCUGGCAGUCAGAGGCGAUGAAGGACGUGCUAAUCUGCGAAAAGCGUCGGUAAGGUGAUAUGAACCGUUAUAACCGGCGAUGUCCGAAUGGGGAAACCCAGUGCAAUUCGUUGCACUAUCGUUAACUGAAUACAUAGGUUAACGAGGCGAACCGGGGGAACUGAAACAUCUAAGUACCCCGAGGAAAAGAAAUCAACCGAGAUUCCCCCAGUAGCGGCGAGCGAACGGGGAGCAGCCCAGAGUCUGAAUCAGCUUGUGUGUUAGUGGAACGGUCUGGAAAGUCCGACGGUACAGGGUGAUAGUCCCGUACACCAAAAUGCACAGGCUGUGAACUCGAAGAGUAGGGCGGGACACGUGGUAUCCUGUCUGAAUAUGGGGGGACCAUCCUCCAAGGCUAAAUACUCCUGACUGACCGAUAGUGAACCAGUACCGUGAGGGAAAGGCGAAAAGAACCCCGGCGAGGGGAGUGAAAAAGAACCUGAAACCGUGUACGUACAAGCAGUGGGAGCACCUUCGGGUGUGACUGCGUACCUUUUGUAUAAUGGGUCAGCGACUUAUAUUCUGUAGCAAGGUUAACCGUAUAGGGGAGCCGCAGGGAAACCGAGUCUUAACUGGGCGUUAAGUUGCAGGGUAUAGACCCGAAACCCGGUGAUCUAGCCAUGGGCAGGUUGAAGGUUGGGUAACACUAACUGGAGGACCGAACCGACUAAUGUUGAAAAAUUAGCGGAUGACUUGUGGCUGGGGGUGAAAGGCCAAUCAAACCGGGAGAUAGCUGGUUCUCCCCGAAAGCUAUUUAGGUAGCGCCUCGUGAAUUCAUCUUCGGGGGUAGAGCACUGUUUCGGCUAGGGGGUCAUCCCGACUUACCAACCCGAUGCAAACUACGAAUACCGAAGAAUGUUAUCACGGGAGACACACGGCGGGUGCUAACGUCCGUCGUGAAGAGGGAAACAACCCAGACCGCCAGCUAAGGUCCCAAAGUCAUGGUUAAGUGGGAAACGAUGUGGGAAGGCACAGACAGCCAGGAUGUUGGCUUAGAAGCAGCCAUCAUUUAAAGAAAGCGUAAUAGCUCACUGGUCGAGUCGGCCUGCGCGGAAGAUGUAACGGGGCUAAACCAUGCACCGAAGCUGCGGCAGCGACACUAUGUGUUGUUGGGUAGGGGAGCGUUCUGUAAGCCUGCGAAGGUGACCUGUGAGGGUUGCUGGAGGUAUCAGAAGUGCGAAUGCUGACAUAAGUAACGAUAAAGCGGGUGAAAAGCCCGCUCGCCGGAAGACCAAGGGUUCCUGUCCAACGUUAAUCGGGGCAGGGUGAGUCGACCCCUAAGGCGAGGCCGAAAGGCGUAGUCGAUGGGAAACAGGUUAAUAUUCCUGUACUUGGUGUUACUGCGAAGGGGGGACGGAGAAGGCUAUGUUAGCCGGGCGACGGUUGUCCCGGUUUAAGCAUGUAGGCUGGUUGUCCAGGCAAAUCCGGAUAAUCAAGGCUGAGGUGUGAUGACGAGGCACUACGGUGCUGAAGUAACAAAUGCCCUGCUUCCAGGAAAAGCCUCUAAGCAUCAGGUAACAUUAAAUCGUACCCCAAACCGACACAGGUGGUCAGGUAGAGAAUACCAAGGCGCUUGAGAGAACUCGGGUGAAGGAACUAGGCAAAAUGGUGCCGUAACUUCGGGAGAAGGCACGCUGGUGUGUAGGUGAAGCCCCUGCGGGUGGAGCUGAGACCAGUCGAAGAUACCAGCUGGCUGCAACUGUUUAUUAAAAACACAGCACUGUGCAAACACGAAAGUGGACGUAUACGGUGUGACGCCUGCCCGGUGCCGGAAGGUUAAUUGAUGGGGUUAUCCGUAAGGAGAAGCUCUUGAUCGAAGCCCCGGUAAACGGCGGCCGUAACUAUAACGGUCCUAAGGUAGCGAAAUUCCUUGUCGGGUAAGUUCCGACCUGCACGAAUGGCGUAAUGAUGGCCAGGCUGUCUCCACCCGAGACUCAGUGAAAUUGAACUCGCUGUGAAGAUGCAGUGUACCCGCGGCAAGACGGAAAGACCCCGUGAACCUUUACUAUAGCUUGACACUGAACAUUGAGCCUUGAUGUGUAGGAUAGGUGGGAGGCUUUGAAGCGUGGACGCCAGUCUGCGUGGAGCCAACCUUGAAAUACCACCCUUUAAUGUUUGAUGUUCUAACGUUGGCCCCUGACCGGGGUUGCGGACAGUGUCUGGUGGGUAGUUUGACUGGGGCGGUCUCCUCCCAAAGCGUAACGGAGGAGCACGAAGGUUAGCUAAUCCUGGUCGGACAUCAGGAGGUUAGUGCAAUGGCAUAAGCUAGCUUGACUGCGAGCGUGACGGCGCGAGCAGGUGCGAAAGCAGGUCAUAGUGAUCCGGUGGUUCUGAAUGGAAGGGCCAUCGCUCAACGGAUAAAAGGUACUCCGGGGAUAACAGGCUGAUACCGCCCAAGAGUUCAUAUCGACGGCGGUGUUUGGCACCUCGAUGUCGGCUCAUCACAUCCUGGGGCUGAAGUAGGUCCCAAGGGUAUGGCUGUUCGCCAUUUAAAGUGGUACGCGAGCUGGGUUUAGAACGUCGUGAGACAGUUCGGUCCCUAUCUGCCGUGGGCGCUGGAGAAUUGAGGGGGGCUGCUCCUAGUACGAGAGGACCGGAGUGGACGCAUCACUGGUGUUCGGGUUGUCAUGCCAAUGGCACUGCCCGGUAGCUAAAUGCGGAAGAGAUAAGUGCUGAAAGCAUCUAAGCACGAAACUUGCCCCGAGAUGAGUUCUCCCUGAGACUUUAAGUCUCCUGAAGGAACGUUAAAGACGAUGACGUUGAUAGGCCGGGUGUGUAAGCGCAGCGAUGCGUUGAGCUAACCGGUACUAAUGAACCGUGAGGCUUAACCUUACAACGCCGAAG
rnacentral:rRNA from 1 species